CCCUUAGAUGUCCUGGGCCGCACGCGCGUUACACUGAUGCAUUCAACGAGCUUAUAACCUUGGCCGAGAGGCCUGGGCAAUCUUGUUAACGUGCAUCGUGAUAGGGAUAGAUUAUUGAAAUUAUUACUCUUGAACGAGGAAUUCCUAGUAAACGCAGAUCAUCAAUCUGCAUUGAUUACGUCCCUGCCCUUUGUACACACCGCCCGUCGCACCUACCGAUUGGAUGGUCCGGUGAAGCCUCGGGAUUGUGGUUCUUGCCGCUUUAUUGUGGCGUGACCGCGAGAACUUGUCUAAACCUUAUCAUCUAGAGGAAGGUGAAGUCGUAACA
rnacentral:rRNA from 1 species